rnacentral:sRNA from 1 species
UGUAAUUUUUUUUAUAUAAAAAACUGUCUCGCAUGCGAUAAAACUGGUUUUAAAUUUGACCACUAUUUAAUGUUACACUCAUUUUUUUUUAUAUUGAAGUUUGUUUAUGAAAUUUGCAAUUGGUAACUUGUAAAAUUAUAUUUUAUGUGUGUUAGGUUUUUUGUGUCAAAUGAAAAAUAUUAAUGGAAUAAACACAAGAAUUUGAUUAACCUUCAUGAUAAUUUUGGUAACUUUUGUAUAUUUCCGAUUGAAUUGUAAAAGUAUGUUUUCAUGAAUUUGUUUUCUUGUCAAUUGAACAAUGAAAUAAAUAAAAGAAUUUGAUUUU